rnacentral:rRNA from 1 species
UGGGGAAUCUUGGACAAUGGGCGCAAGCCUGAUCCAGCCAUGCCGCGUGGAUGAUGAAGGCCUUAGGGUUGUAAAAUCCUUUCGUGGGGGACGAUAAUGACGGUACCCCAAGAAGAAGCUCCGGCUAACUUCGUGCCAGCAGCCGCGGUAAUACGAAGGGGGCUAGCGUUGUUCGGAUUUACUGGGCGUAAAGCGCGUGUAGGCGGGUCGUUAAGUUGGGGGUGAAAUCCCGAGGCUCAACCUCGGAACUGCCUUCAAAACUGGCGACCUGGACUCAAGCAGAGGCAAGUGGAAUUGCGAGUGUAGAGGUGAAAUUCGUAGAUAUUCGCAGGAACACCAGUGGCGAAGGCGACUUGCUGGGCUUGUAGUGACGCUGAGACGCGAAAGCGUGGGGAGCAAACAGGAUUAGAUACCCGUGUAGUCCCUGAGCGGGCUGGCAAGGCGCAU